UGGGAGUGGGCACAAAGAAUGAAGAACAGGAACCAAAAACUACCAACUUAAUUGUUAUGUGUAUAUAUUUAUAAGGUUUCUGAGAGAUACUAUUCAUUAGCUGAGUCCUUUGUCGUGUUGAAACUGGUUGAUCCUGCCCACUAAUGAGGACAAACCAGUUUGUCUGAUUCCUAGUAGUUCACUCUCAGUAUUGAUUUUCCUUCUAUCACAGGAGAAUUUUGUAGCAAAAGUGUUAAUGUAUGGUAGUGCGUUAGUAGCUGAGGAGGUGUGUCACUUGAAUCGCUGGGACCAAUGUUCCCUCCCUCUCAAUGCACUGGAGACUGGACUGGAACUGAGGCAGUUGGACAUAGUGUCAUUCUUCCUUAGGAACAGAGG